rnacentral:rRNA from 1 species
UGAACGCUAGCGACAGGCUUAACACAUGCAAGUCGAGGGGCAGCACGGGAGUAGCAAUACUUGGUGGCGACCGGCGCACGGGUGAGUAACGCGUAUGCAACCUACCUAUCGAGACGGGGGAAUAACCCGGCGAAAGUCGGACUAAUACCGCAUAAAACAGGGGCACCGCAUGGUGAUAUUUGUUAAAGAAAUUCGCUGAUAGAUGGGCAUGCGUUCCAUUAGGUAGUUGGUGAGGUAACGGCUCACCAAGCCGACGAUGGAUAGGGGAACUGAGAGGUUGGUCCCCCACACUGGUACUGAGACACGGACCAGACUCCUACGGGAGGCAGCAGUGAGGAAUAUUGGUCAAUGGGCGGGAGCCUGAACCAGCCAAGUCGCGUGAAGGAAGAAGGAUCUAUGGUUCGUAAACUUCUUUUGCAGGGGAAUAAAGUGCAGGACGUGUCCUGUUUUGUAUGUACCCUGAGAAUAAGGAUCGGCUAACUCCGUGCCAGCAGCGGC